UCUUUUGUAUUAGAUAUGAACUACUGAGGAUGAAACCAAUUGGAAAAGGAGGAGAAUAUGAUAAAAAUAAAAGGAAAAAUAAUUUACGGGCGUUCUAAGGCAGUGAAGGGAAAAAGGGAGACGAUUUGGAGGAGUUGCAUGAAUCUGAUG